rnacentral:ncRNA from 1 species
CUCUUCAGGGCAGGGUGCAAUUCCCGACCGGCGGUACAGUCCGCGAGCGCUUCGGCGCCGAACCGGUGCAACUCCGGUACCGACAGUAUAGUCUGGAUGGAAGAAGAU